rnacentral:rRNA from 1 species
CCUACGGGGGCAGCAGUGGGGAAUAUUGGACAAUGGGCGAAAGCCUGAUCCAGCCAUGCCGCGUGUGUGAAGAAGGCCUUCGGGUUGUAAAGCACUUUCAGUGGGGAAGAAAGCCUUGGGGCUAAUACCCUCGAGGAAGGACAUCACCCACAGAAGAAGCACCGGCUAACUCCGUGCCAGCAGCCGCGGUAAUACGGAGGGUGCGAGCGUUAAUCGGAAUUACUGGGCGUAAAGCGCGCGUAGGCGGUCUGAUAAGCCGGUUGGGAAAGCCCCGGGCUCAACCUGGGAACGGCAUCCGGAACUGUCAGGCUAGAGUGCAGGAGAGGAAGGUAGAAUUCCCGGUGUAGCGGUGAAAUGCGUAGAGAUCGGGAGGAAUACCAGUGGCGAAGGCGGCCUUCUGGACUGACACUGACGCUGAGGUGCGAAAGCGUGGGUAGCAAACAGGAUUAGAUACCCGAGUAGUC